rnacentral:rRNA from 1 species
GGAUACAGACGAGAGGCUCUCUACCGUCUGGAAAGUUUUUCGGUCUGGGAUGGACUCGCGGCCUAUCAGCUAGUUGGUGAGGUAAUGGCUCACCAAGGCGACGACGGGUAGCCGGCCUGAGAGGGCGACCGGCCACACUGGGACUGAGACACGGCCCAGACUCCUACGGGAGGCAGCAGUGGGGAAUAUUGCACAAUGGGCGAAAGCCUGAUGCAGCGACGCCGCGUGAGGGAUGAAGGCCUUCGGGUUGUAAACCUCUUUCAGCA